CAAUAGCGUAUAUUAAAGUUGUUGCGGUAAAAAAGCUCGUAGUUGGAUUUCUGUUGAGAGCGACCGGUCCAUACCAUGUAUGCGUAUCUGGCUUGCUCUCGGCAUCCUCUCGAUAGACGUUGCUGCGCUUGAUUGCGUGGCGCGGAUCUCGGGACUUUUACUUUGAGGAAAUUAGAGUGUUCACGGCAGGCUUUCGCCAGAAUACAUUAGCAUGGAAUAAUACUAUAGGAUCUUGGUUCUAUUUUGUUGGUUUCUAGAAUUGAGAUAAUGAUUAAUAGGGACAAUUGGGGGCAUCCGUAUCAACACGUCAGAGGUGGAAUUCUUGGAUUGUGUUGCGACGAACUACUGCGAAAGCAUUUGCCAAGGAUGUUUUCAUUGA
rnacentral:rRNA from 1 species